UGUCACUAAAGGAGAAAUGGGAAGUCCUUAUGAAUAUCAGCCGGAGGUGAAGUGGUACCACAUCCUGUGGGACAUGCGGAACAAGCAGUUCCGGCAGUGGUAUCUCAAGAAAAAAUACCGCGACAUGCGGAUCGCGUACAAGUAUGAGAGUCAUAUUUUGUACCAAAAGGCAGGGAUGGGCUUUCUGAUGGCGGCCGUUUUCAUGUCGAUUUUCAGCUCCGAUCUGGCAGUCGCGGUCUUUCGGUGGCCCACGGAGGACCCCAAUGAGCUGCUGAAGAGCCAAGUGUGGCAGAAGUAUCACCAUCAGUUGAACGAGCGCAAGGAGUAUGCAGACAAACUUCUCCAAGACUCCAACUACAUUCACAAGAAGAACAACCCCGGUGAGUAGCUUAAUUCCACACUUUUCCAAACGGUAGAUCUCACACACGUAUAGCACGAUGAGUGCUUUGUCCCUUGAAAGGAAAAACCUUUGAAAUGUUGCAAAUGCACCCAGCUACUGUGUUUUUGGUCCUCUACAGAAGGGCUGAUGUGCGAGUGUGCUCUCCGCAACCGUGAUAGAUGCAUACAGUCCGUAAAGCAGCUGAUGACUCAUGCGACAACCACCCUUUGCUACCUCCGCUUAUCACUCUUCUUCCUCUAG
rnacentral:misc_RNA from 1 species